UACAGGGGGGGCAAGCGUUGUUCGGAAUUACUGGGCGUAAAGGGCGCGUAGGCGGCCAUCUAAGUCAGACGUGAAAUCCCCCGGCUUAACCUGGGAACUGCGUCUGAUACUGGAAGGCUUGAGUAUGGGAGAGGGAUGUAGAGUUCCAGGUGUAGCGGUGAAAUGCGUAGAUAUCUGGAGGAAUACCGGUGGCGAAGGCGGCAUCCUGGACCAUUACUGACGCUGAGGCGCGAAAGCUAGGGGAGCAAACGGG
rnacentral:rRNA from 1 species